AACGAACGCUGGCGGCAUGCCUAAUACAUGCAAGUCGAACGAAGGCUUCGGCCUUAGUGGCGCACGGGUGCGUAACGCGUGGGAAUCUACCCUUGGGUUCGGAAUAACAGUGGGAAACUACUGCUAAUACCGGAUGAUGACGUAAGUCCAAAGAUUUAUCGCCCAGGGAUGAGCCCGCGUAGGAUUAGCCUGUUGGUGAGGUAAAAGCUCACCAAGGCGACGAUCCUUAGCUGGUCUGAGAGGAUGAUCAGCCACACUGGGACUGAGACACGGCCCAGACUCCUACGGGAGGCAGCAGUAGGGAAUAUUGGACAAUGGGCGAAAGCCUGAUCCAGCAAUGCCGCGUGAGUGAUGAAGGCCUUAGGGUUGUAAAGCUCUUUUACCCGGGAUGAUAAUGACAGUACCGGGAGAAUAAGCCCCGGCUAACUCCGUGCCAGCCGCCGCAGUAAAAC
rnacentral:rRNA from 1 species